AGCGAACGCUGGCGGCAGGCCUAACACAUGCAAGUCGAACGAAGUCUUCGGACUUAGUGGCGGACGGGUGAGUAACACGUGGGAACGUGCCUUUAGGUUCGGAAUAACUCAGGGAAACUUGUGCUAAUACCGAAUGUGCCCUUCGGGGGAAAGAUUUAUCGCCUUUAGAGCGGCCCGCGUCUGAUUAGCUAGUUGGUGGGGUAAUGGCCCACCAAGGCUACGAUCAGUAGCUGGACUGAGAGGAUGACCAGCCACAUUGGGCCUGAGACACGACCCAAACUCCCACGGGAGGCAGCAGUGGGGAAUGUUGCGCAAUGUGCGAAGGCCAGACGCAGCCAUGCCGCGUGGAUGAUGAAGGUCUGAGGAUUGUAAAAUCCUUUCACCGGUGAAGAUAAUGACUGUAGCCGGAGAAGAAGCCCCGGCUAACUUCGUGCCAGCAGCCGCAGUAACAC
rnacentral:rRNA from 1 species